GAUCGUGACCUGAGCCAAAGGCGGCCACUUAACCCACUGAGCCACCCAAGUGCCCCUUACUCUGUUAUUUCUAAAGCGCACAAGUUUUGGCCACAAGAACACACCACAGCCUUCAGCACUGGGAUGCAAGGACCAGACUAAGCCCGAGGAAACUGGCAACCAAGCAGGGCAGUUUCGAUCUCCAUCCCAAAUGCGGGGCUGUAGCAGUGGCCAGGAAGAAAACCGCCCCCUCUGAAAGUUGUUUUGGUGACUGUUCUUUGGAGCAUUGUUCUAAAAAUGGGAAAUUACAUAUUGCCGUGCCAAAGGAAACAAACACCUGCAAUUAAAGGAAUACCUACCACGAGGUGGCUCUCAGAGCCCCAGCCAGUUCUGGACGCGGGGCUGUUACACAAGUUUCACUUGGUGCUUUCUUCACUUUUAAGGGGAUCGGGUGCUUCUCCAUUUGUAACCAGGGUGGGCUUUGGCGACUACGGGGCUCCGGUGAUUGUCUUUUACUCAUUCACUCAAUAAACAUCUAUCGAGCAUC